rnacentral:rRNA from 1 species
CGGCAGGCCUAACACAUGCAAGGUCGAGCGGGUAGAGAGGUGCUUGCAUCUCUUGAGAGCGGCGGACGGGUGAGUAAUGCCUAGGAAUCUGCCUGGUGGUGGGGGGAUAACGUUCGGAAACGGACGCUAAUACCGCAUACGUCCUACGGGAGAAANCGGGGGGAUCUUCGGACCUCGCGCCAUUAGAUGAGCCUAGGUCGGAUUAGCUAGUUGGUGAGGUAAUGGCUCACCAAGGCGACGAUCCGUAACUGGGUCUGAGAGGAUGAUCAGUCACACUGGAACUGAGACACGGUCCAGACUCCUACGGGAGGCAGCAGUGGGGAAUAUUGGACAAUGGGCGAAAGCCUGAUCCAGCCAUGCCGCGUGUGUGAAGAAGGUCUUCGGAUUGUAAAGCACUUUAAGUUGGGAGGAAGGGUAGUAACCUAAUACGUUGCUACUUUGACGUUACCGACAGAAUAAGCACCGGCUAACUUCGUG